CCUACGGGUGGCAGCAGUGAGGAAUAUUGGUCAAUGGGCUUACGCCUGAACCAGCCAAGUCGCGUGAGGGAAGACUGCCCUAUGGGUUGUAAACCUCUUUUGUCAGGGAGCAAUUGGCGCUACGUGUAGCGUUAUCGAGAGUACCUGAAGAAAAAGCAUCGGCUAACUCCGUGCCAGCAGCCGCGGUAAUACGGAGGAUGCGAGCGUUAUCCGGAUUUAUUGGGUUUAAGGGGUGCGUAGGCGGAAUGCCAAGUCAGCGGUAAAAUCGCGGGGCUCAACCGUAAAAUUGCAGUUGAAACUGGCAGUCUUGAGUACAGUAGAGGUGGGCGGAAUGCGUGGUGUAGCGGUGAAAUGCUUAGAUAUCACGAAGAACUCCGAUUGCGAAGGCAGCUCACUGGACUGCAACUGACACUGAGGCUCGAAAGUGUGGGUAUCAAACAGGAUUAGAUACCCCUGUAGUC
rnacentral:rRNA from 1 species